rnacentral:rRNA from 1 species
UGGGGAAUCUUGCGCAAUGGGCGAAAGCCUGACGCAGCGAUGCCGCGUGCGGGAUGAAGGCCUUCGGGUUGUAAACCGCUUUCAGCAGGGACGAAAUUGACGGUACCUGCAGAAGAAGCCCCGGCCAACUACGUGCCAGCAGCCGCGGUAAUACGUAGGGGGCGAGCGUUGUCCGGAUUUAUUGGGCGUAAAGAGCUCGUAGGCGGUUCGAUAAGUCGGAUGUGAAAUCUCCACGCUCAACGUGGAGGGGCCAUUCGAUACUGUCGUGACUCGAGUCCGGUAGGGGAGUGUGGAAUUCCCGGUGUAGCGGUGAAAUGCGCAGAGAUCGGGAGGAACACCCGUAGCGAAGGCGGCACUCUGGGCCGGUACUGACGCUGAGGAGCGAAAGCGUGGGGAGCAAACA